rnacentral:lncRNA from 1 species
AAACUGCUCUAUUUCCUGUGACAAUAAUCUCCUGGAACAGACCAGGAAAAGACAAACCUCAAAAAGGUGCUGCAGUCCUAUGAUCUUUCUCCCUUGGGUUGAUUUAUCUUGUAUGGAAACACGGAGAUUGCAUCUGUGUUCCUGAGACUAGCCAUGCCGGAGAGCAGGAGGCUCCUUGCACCCAUUAACCUUGUUGGUUCCUACCCACACAGUCUGGCCCUAGGUCUGUGCAGAGCCUCACAAAUAUGCUUUCACUAGCACGGAGCUCAGUUUUGCAUUGUCACAGCAUUGCAAAAUAUUCCCAGGCAGCAUUGCAAAACAAGCCUGUGUUUUAUGGUACACUUAGUGGCAACGAAAAGUCCUACAUAAUAGUUAAAAUAAAAUCAAUGGCAGCUUUGCCUCAACUCAGAAUGGGAUAAGGUGGGAAUGCUGAGUAGGUGCUAGAAUACCUUUUUUUUUUCUAAUUAAAUGGCUGACUUGGCCUUGUGAAGUUAUGGGUAACAGUCAUUUUUUGCAAAAAUUGUAUCAAUCUUUGUGGCUAUAUUUGAGAAAGGAUCAACACUUGAAAAGGAGAAAUCCUGGAAUCUCCCCUACCCUUUCCCUGGGAAUGGGGAAAGGGAUCUGCAGAAAAAAAACCACUCCUACCAAGAAUGCUUUGGUGUAUGAACACCUCUCUUGGGUCACUGGAUCAAAUGCUAAUGUCACUGUAUUAUCUACUUGAAAUAAGACACCAAGGGAAGACUGGAGAAAAUGAUCCUACUUCUGGAAAAAAAAUCAUGCUCUCUAAAAUGAGCACUAGUGUGAAGAAAAAAAUAACAAAUUCACACAAAUGGGUUAGUUUACAACAGAGAAAAGACUGUCCUGCCAAUAUCCUGUGGCAAUGUGAAAGGGUAAGACACUUACAGAUGUCUCAAGACCUGCUGCCUUUUUUUCUUGAAUUAAAUCUUUGUUUCUUUUCCACCAGCUAUUUCUGUGCUUUACAGGCUCUGUUUUAAGGUUUUAUUUAUUGAUUCAUUUAUUUAUAAAAACCUUAAAAAAUAUAUAUAUAGUAACCUCUCUCUMUAUAUAUAGUAUAUUGUAUAUACCUUGUAUUCUUACAGAGUGCACCCUCAGCAAGUUUGCUGACGAUACAAAACUGGGAGGAGUGGCUGAUACACCAGAGGGCYGUGCUGCCAUUCAGAGAGACCUGGCCAGGCUGGAGAGGUGGGCAGAGAGGAACCUCAUGAAGUUCAACAAAGGCAAGUGCAGGGUCCUGCACCUGGGGAGGAAU